GACAGAGGGUGCAAACGUUGUUCGGAAUUACUGGGCGUAAAGCGAGUGUAGGCGGUUUGGUAAGUCGGAUGUGAAAGCCCCGGGCUCAACCCGGGAAGUGCACUCGAUACUGCCAAGCUAGAGUAUCGGAGAGGUUGGUGGAAUUCUCGGUGUAGAGGUGAAAUUCGUAGAUAUCGAGAGGAACACCGGUGGCGAAGGCGGCCAACUGGACGAAUACUGACGCUGAGGAGCGAAAGCGUGGGGAGCGAACAGG
rnacentral:rRNA from 1 species